rnacentral:misc_RNA from 1 species
GUAGGUGAACCUGCGGAAGGAUCAUUACAGAUUCAAGAUAUUAGAAGGAGCCAGCAGGGCGCCACCAGCGGUGGGGACAACACGGGACUAACCCCCCGCCCCACCCUGGCGGCGUCACUCUGGCCGAGUGAGAGCAUUCGCUUGGGCUUCUUCGUGUUCAUUUCGAAUACCGAGAAACAGGCAGUCGUCCGAGCCACCGGGGUGUAAGAAAUCCCCGGAGGUCUCGGCGGCUGGUACAGCGGUCAAAUUC